CCGCCUCUGACGUCACACGUGUGUGGAAGCAGUGCUUGGGAGCGGUGCACGCGUUUGCCCGGCCUGAGCUGCUCCAAACUCAAACAGAUCACGGUGUAGGCCCUAAGCCCGGUGAUCUGCACCCAUCUUGCGUGUUCCAUCGACACCUGGCACAUGGGUGCAUUCACGAGUCAACAGGGGUAUCUCCCAGCUCGUACUGUGAACACAGUAAAACAUUCAAACGCGUGCAUGCACGGCGCGGGUGCACGGGGCUCAGCAUUGUAUUCCCCAACCUGGUUCAAUGUCUAUUCUAAAACUGCGUGCGGCGGCUAGGCUGAGGCCUUAGUUGGUGCGCGCUCGUCUGCAGCGCGUGUGUGCGCAUUCAUUCUCAAAUGCGGCAUUGACGUUGAACUUUUCCUCGCGGGUUUCCCCUUCUUUGAUGGUCCUUACAAGUUUGACGGCCUUCCUCCUUCUCGUAAUCCACCAAAGUAACUUCACGCCAUCAGCUCAUCAUCCAGGUGGGAUGCAUAAACUGGGAAUAGACUAACGGGUAGGACUGAUUGUACCCAUAUUGGAACAGUUUUGCUGCUGCUGUUAUUGGGACUGAUAUAGUCUACAGGUAUUGGUUCUGUUAAUCCCUUAUGUGCUUUUAUGUGGAUGGAUGAGUGUGUGUGUGUGUGUGUGUGUGUGAGGCCUAUGUUUUAUGUAUUUAAAAUAGAUGAAGUAUAUUUUGACAAAUUGAAAAUUAUAAAUAAAGCUUUAUAUUUGUGGA